rfam:Bacillus enclensis strain SGD-1123 genomic scaffold Scaffold16, whole genome shotgun sequence.
GGUAUGUUAUUAACCCCACGAUAAGCCCCGGAAACUUAUUGUGAUUAGAAAAUAAAUA